rnacentral:piRNA from 1 species
UGCCAUUUAAUCCUUACAAGAA